UGGGGAAUUUUGGACAAUGGGCGAAAGCCUGAUCCAGCAAUGCCGCGUGUGUGAAGAAGGCCUUCGGGUUGUAAAGCACUUUUGUCCGGAAAGAAAUCCUCUGGGUUAAUACCUCGGGGGGAGUGACGGUACCGGAAGAAUAAGCACCGGCUAACUACGUGCCAGCAGCCGCGGUAAUACGUAGGGUGCAAGCGUUAAUCGGAAUUACUGGGCGUAAAGCGUGCGCAGGCGGUUUUGUAAGACGGAUGUGAAAUCCCCGGGCUUAACCUGGGAACUGCAUUCGUGACUGCAAGGCUAGAGUAUGGCAGAGGGGGGUUAGAAUUCCACGUGUAGCAGUGAAAUGCGUAGAGAUGUGGAGGAAUACCGAUGGCGAAGGCAGCCCCUGGGCCAAUACUGACGCUCAUGCACGAAAGCGUGGGGAGCAAACAGGAUUCAGAUACCCUGGUAGUCCACGCCCUAAACGAUGUCAACUAGUUGUUGGGGAUUCAUUUCCUUAGUAACGUAGCUAACGCGUGAAGUUGACCGCCUGGGGAGUACGGUCGCAAGAUUAAAACUCAAAUGAAUUGACGGGGUCAUAGCUGUUUCCU
rnacentral:rRNA from 1 species